ACAUAACAUAUAGCUUAAGGAUUGUUCAUACAUGUAGUGGUUUUAAACGUUCUGAUUCGAUUUACUAGUUCAUGUUUUAGUCGAUAUUCAUAUGCUAUGUUUGGUUUGUGUUUGUUUGCAGGAAAUAAACGACACAGAGAAAUAGAGUUCCCAAGGCUGUUAACUAAGCCUUGGUACGUCUCGGGAGCAAAGAUACAAGAUGAGUCGAGCUUUCUGUCACUCACCAAACCUCACACCACUCACCAAUCUCACGUCACUCACCAAAUGAUCUUAGUUACAGAGA
rnacentral:lncRNA from 1 species